AUGAACGCUGGCGGCGUGCCUAAUACAUGCAAGUCGAGCGAACGGACGAGAAGCUUGCUUCUCUGAUGUUAGCGGCGGACGGGUGAGUAACACGUGGAUAACCUACCUAUAAGACUGGGAUAACUUCGGGAAACCGGAGCUAAUACCGGAUAAUAUUUUGAACCGCAUGGUUCAAAAGUGAAAGACGGUCUUGCUGUCACUUAUAGAUGGAUCCGCGCUGCAUUAGCUAGUUGGUAAGGUAACGGCUUACCAAGGCAACGAUGCAUAGCCGACCUGAGAGGGUGAUCGGCCACACUGCGACUGAGACACGGUCCAGACUCCUACGGGAGGCAGCAGUCGGGAAUCUUCCGCAAUGGGCGAAAGCCUGACGGAGCAACGCCGCGUGAGUAAUGAAGGUCUUCGGAUCGUACAACUCUGUUAUUAGUGAAGAACAUAUGUGUAAGUAACUGUGCACGUCUUGACGGUACCUAAUCAGAAAGCCACGGCUAACUACGUG
rnacentral:rRNA from 1 species